GGCUGGAUAGUCUAGUGGUUAAGACCCCCGGAGUUGGGAAGGCCUAGGUUCAAUUCCUAGUCCCGCCA
rnacentral:tRNA from 1 species